rnacentral:rRNA from 1 species
GAUGAACGCUGACGGAAUGCUUAACACAUGCAAGUCGAUGGGGAAGUGGUGCUUGCACCAUGGUAACCAUGGCGGACGGGUGAGUAACGCGUAAGGAACUUGCCUGCGGGACUGGGAUAACAGCAGGAAACUGCUGAUAAUACCGGAUAAGGUCAUUAAGCUGCAUAGCUUAGUGAUGAAAGGAGACGCCUGCGGAGAGCCUUGCGUCCUAUUAGCUAGUUGGAGGGGUAACGGCCCACCAAGGCGAAGAUAGGUAGCCGGCCUGAGAGGGUGGACGGCCACAAGGGGACUGAGAUACGGCCCUUACUCCUACGGGAGGCAGCAGUGGGGAAUAUUGGACAAUGGGGGCAACCCUGAUCCAGCAAUUCUGUGUGCACGAAGACGGUUUUCGGAGUGUAAAGUGCUUUCAGCAGGGAAGAAGGAAGUGACGGUACCUGCAGAAGAAGCGACGGCUAAAUACGUG